rnacentral:rRNA from 1 species
CUCCUACGGGAGGCAGCAGUAGGGAAUCUUCCGCAAUGGACGAAAGUCUGACGGAGCAACGCCGCGUGAGUGAUGAAGGCUUUCGGGUCGUAAAACUCUGUUGUUAGGGAAGAACAAGUGCUAGUUGAAUAAGCUGGCACCUUGACGGUACCUAACCAGAAAGCCACGGCCAACUACGUGCCAGCAGCCGCGGUAAUACGUAGGUGGCAAGCGUUAUCCGGAAUUAUUGGGCGUAAAGCGCGCGCAGGUGGUUUCUUAAGUCUGAUGUGAAAGCCCACGGCUCAACCGUGGAGGGUCAUUGGAAACUGGGAGACUUGAGUGCAGAAGAGGAAAGUGGAAUUCCAUGUGUAGCGGUGAAAUGCGUAGAGAUGUGGAGGAACACCUGUGGCGAAGGCGCCUUGCUGGCCUAUUUCUGACGCUGAGGCGCGAAAGCGUGGGGAGCAAACAGGAUUAGAUACCCUGGUAGUCCACGCUGUAAACGAUGAGUGCUAGGUGUAGGUGGGCUCAUACCCAUCUGUGCCGAAGCUAACGCAUUAAGCACUCCGCCUGGGGAGUACGGUCGCAAGACUGAAACUCAAAGGAAUUGACGGGGGCCCGCACAAGCAGUGGAGCAUGUGGUUUAAUUCGAAGCAACGCGAAGAACCUUACCAGGACUUGACAUCCCAUAGACCAGUCUAGAGAUAGACUUUCCCUUCGGGGCUGUGGUGACAGGUGGUGCAUGGUUGUCGUCAGCUCGUGUCGUGAGAUGUUGGGUUAAGUCCCGCAACGAGCGCAACCCUUACUUUGUGUUGCCAGCAUUCAGUUGGGCACUCACAAGGGACUGCCGCCGAUAAGGCGGAGGAAGGUGGGGAUGACGUCAAAUCAUCAUGCCCCUUAUGUCCUGGGCUACACACGUGCUACAAUGGGCGGUACAACGGGAUGCGAAGCCGCGAGGUGGAGCCAAACCCUGAAAACCGUUCGUAGUUCGAAUUGUAGGCUGCAACUCGCCUACAUGAAGCCGGAAUUGCUAGUAAUCGCGGAUCAGCAUGCCGCGGUGAAUCCGUUCCCAGGCCUUGUACACACCGCCCGU